rnacentral:rRNA from 1 species
AGCGAACGCUGGCGGCAGGCCUAGCACAUGCAAGUCGAACGAACUCUUCGGAGUUAGUGGCGGACGGGUGAGUAACACGUGGGAACGUGCCUUUAGGUUCGGAAUAACUCAGGGAAACUUGUGCUAAUACCGAAUGUGCCCUUCGGGGGAAAGAUUUAUCGCCUUUAGAGCGGCCCGCGUCUGAUUAGCUAGUUGGUGAGGUAAAGGCUCACCAAGGCGACGAUCAGUAGCUGGUCUGAGAGGAUGAUCAGCCACAUUGGGACUGAGACACGGCCCAAACUCCUACGGGAGGCAGCAGUGGGGAAUCUUGCGCAAUGGGCGAAAGCCUGACGCAGCCAUGCCGCGUGAAUGAUGAAGGUCUUAGGAUUGUAAAAUUCUUUCACCGGGGACGAUAAUGACGGUACCCGGAGAAGAAGCCCCGGCUAACUUCGUG